GUUAGUCAAAAUAUUCCUCACCCACCCACUCAAAAAGUAUUCUUCACCCACCCACUCAUCACCCACCCACUACACUUUGUUUGCCAUUUGUUUGAAUUGUUUGCCCAACUCAUGAUUACUCUUCUCCUCCAUUGCACUAUAAAAGGGAAGCUAAGCUUGAGGAUCAAAUACACCAAAACCAACUCUCUCUCAAGUCUCAUCCGAGAGCAAUCCAAGAGUUGGAAGAAAUAGAGAGUGAGAGAAAGAAGCUUCUAUGAAGCUUUAGAAAAUAGAGAGGGAGAAAGAUAGUUCAAAUAGAAGGGUGUUUUAUUUGGGUUCCAUCACAUAUUUAUUGUGGUGAAGUAAUUUGAGUUUGUACUCAAAUUAAGAUAUCUUUGUAUUCUCUCAUAUUAUUCUAGUGGAUUUUUCGGAGAUUGUCCCGUGAUUUUUACCUCU
rnacentral:lncRNA from 1 species